rnacentral:misc_RNA from 1 species
AAGUCGUAACAAGGUUUCCGUAGGUGAACCUGCGGAAGGAUCAUUAACACGUAUCCAAACGUUAACCCCCUGUGAACCUUCAAUGUGCUCGUACACUUUGUCAAAGCGAGGCAAUCCCUGGUAAAUCAUCGCCGAACAGUUUUGAUUCUGGGACUUCCUCAAAGAGUGUGCAUGUUGCGCGAGGCAAGUGGCCUGGCAUUCCCAAGCAGUUAAUGUCUGAAAGUGUCAUUGGCUGUGUAAGGAUGACGCAGUAACGAUCGUUGGAGGCCGACACGGCCGACGACCGGGUCACCUGGCGCAAGCCCCUUUAUCACCACUUGAUGCAUGGGCGACCAAAAACCGAACAACUGUUAACAAUGGAUAUCUUGGUUCUC